GUGCCGCUUGGGAGCCGUGAGGGCGCACUUCGCACGCAGCGCUGGAGGAGGGAGGUCGCACCGCACCCGGGAGGGAGAGGGAUGGCGGCGGGAGGGGGACUCCUGCGGGCCGCGGAGUCCCUCUCUCCGUGGGAAGAGGAGGCUCACAGAGCGGCGGAGGGAGGAGGACAGCAGUGGUGGCGGAGUCAUGUGGCUUGUCCGACGCAUCCCAGCUGAAAACGAGAUGAGAGCCUCACCAACCGGUGACCGGUGACCCUGGUGACCUCUGUGACCCUGCACGCGACGAGGUCACGACCUCUGGAGAACCAGCGGGCCCCGUCCGACUUCCCCGCGGGCCGCCGCUGACGGCGACGAGGCAAGCUUCUCAGAACCCGACGGCGGAGCUACUUGAGAGACUGCGGCGGCGGGCCUGCAACGUGACGAAGGCCGUGACGGCGCCCGUGACGGCGCCCGUGACGGUGUCCGUGACGGAGGUCGUGACAGAGUCCGUGACGAAAGCGGCCGUGACGCUGGUUGGGGCGUCACUGUUCUGCUGGCGGCUCUUCAGGGCGCUGAGUCUCUUACAGGGUCCAGUCAACAGACAGGAGGCUUCAUCAUCAUCUUCAGCUAGCUAAUCUGAUCUCAUUCUGUGCCAUGUGAUACUGGCUGUGAUAUGAAUGGGUGUGGUCCCGUACUGUGUCAUCAUUAAUUGUUCCAGUGUGUAGCUAUGGGGAAUGAUUGGGUUAGGGUGGGUUGGGGUACGAGGGAAUUGGGACUAGGGCUGUGAUAGUGGUAAGUUUGAUACUGCCUUAUGGUCAUAUGACCAUAGAUCUCAAUGGCUGUGAUAUGAUGUAACGCCUUUCGUCUUUAGCUUGUAGUUUGUAAUUUAGUGGGUCUUAAGUUAGCGUUUCCUUAUAGCUGUUCUUUUUUGGGACAUUAAGUCACCCCCUUUUCUUCUGUUUAUUAGGUACAUAGAGGCGUUGCGUACUGUCUUGUUAGUUAUGCACUGUCAAAUGAUCUCAUAGGCUUAGUUCGAUUGUGGUUUAGUGAUCUCACCGCGUUGGAUAGCAAUGGGUAGUUGAGGGACUUCGGUCAUUGAUCUCAUAAAAGCUUAACUUGAGAAAGGUAUAGUUUGUAGUCAUACUUAAGGCCUAGUAAGUAACCUUAGUGAUGCUCAAAGUGGUUCUGCAUCCGCAGUCCCAACGGUCUCAUGAAGUCUUUCAGGGAGGGCAGAAGUCCUCAUAGGCAAGUCUUUCAUAGUCAAUAGGAGUUAAGUCUUUCACGAAGUAGUUAACAGUGUUGGAAAAAAUUUUAGCGUUGCAAAACGUUUUGCUGUUAUAGCUUAGUUCAGUCUACUAGAAAUGUUCCGAAAUUAGCGUUAGUUAGAGCGAUCUUUUCGUAAUGCUUUCAUCAUCUGUGCUGUGUUAAGAUAGUCUUUCAGUUGUCUUUGACAUUCGUUUAGCAUAAGACAGUCUUUCAGUACUAUGGCGAUGGCUAUAAGUCUUUCAUUCGUGCUUGAAGUGACGUACUGGAUAAUCAUGUUUUGCGUAGUAUGUCCUUACUAACAUGCUCAGCCACUGCUCUAUAGGUAACUGCCAUAACUUGUAAGUCGAUAAUUUGUGCUCUCUUGUAACCAAGCACUUUAGUUGUAAAACGUACGGUGUUUCAUUGCUUCGCGUUCAUAGCAUAGUAUUAUUAGGUACCGCUCAAUAGCAUUAUAAGUUUUUGUGGUGCUUAGUUUGAUUAAAACUCAGCGUAAAAUUAAUAACUAACAGUACAGCUUGUGUAAGUAGCUUUAGUGAUAAGAAUAACCGGUAGAAGAGUUUCUAGUGCCUUGGUUUUAGAUGCCACAAUGUGGGUGCUCUUGAAUUUGCAACUGGACGAGCUGUCAUUGGAUUGUGGUGUCCGGGGAUGCUACACGCGGCUUUCGUACUGAUCUCAAUUGACGGUUGGCCCUUUGCCAAAAGGCUCGGAAUGUUAAGUCAAAGUGGUAGUUGAUGUGGCGCUCCAACCAACCUGCAUUUAACCCCCAUGUUGACCGUAGUUUAGGAUUGAAUUGUGCGCGUCUUUCAUUCGGAACAUUCCGGUAAAACGUGAUGCCAAGUCUUUCUCCCAAGAGUGAUGUUUUGCGUUGUGAUAUACGGUGUCUUUCAGAACAUGUGUGGCUGUUCCGACUGCAUUGCCCAUUGUCUUUCAAUUGUGCCCUAUGACCUCAUCUGUAAAUAGAUGUAAUAUAAGUACUUCGUGUGACUGCCGAUUUGUAGUUUUAGACCAAUAAAAUAUAAAACCCAACCACUA
rnacentral:lncRNA from 1 species